rnacentral:rRNA from 1 species
UACAGAGGUCUCAAGCGUUGUUCGGAUUCAUUGGGCGUAAAGGGCGCGUAGGCUGCGGGGCAAGUCGGGUGUGAAAUCUCAGAGCUCAACUCUGAAACUGCACUCGAUACUGCUUUGCUCGAGGACUGGAGAGGAGAUUGGAAUUCACGGUGUAGCAGUGAAAUGCGUAGAUAUCGUGAGGAAGACCAGUGGCGAAGGCGGAUCUCUGGACAGUUCCUGGCGCUGAGGCGCGAAGGCCAGGGGAGCAAACGGG